rnacentral:rRNA from 1 species
CCUACGGGAUGCAGCAGUGAGGAAUAUUGGUCAAUGGGCGAGAGCCUGAACCAGCCAAGUCGCGUGAGGGAGUACUGCCCUAUGGGUUGUAAACCUCUUUUGUCGGGGAGCAAAAGCCGGACGUGUCCGGCUGUGAGAGUACCCGACGAAAAAGCAUCGGCUAACUCCGUGCCAGCAGCCGCGGUAAUCCGGGGGAUGCGAGCGUUAUCCAGAUUUAUUGGGUUUAAAGGGUGCGACGGCGGAUUUUUAAGUCAGCGGUAAAAUCGGGGGGCUCAACCCCAUCCAGCCGUUGAAACUGGGGAUCUAGAGUGUGCGAGAGGUAUGCGGAAGGAGUGGUGUAGCGGUGAAAUGCAUAGAGAUCACGCAGAACCCCGAUUCCGAAGGCAGCAUAACGGUGCACAACUGACGCUCAGGCACGAAAGCGUGGGUAUCGAACAGGAUUAGAUACCCAAGUAGUC